rnacentral:rRNA from 2 species
CUGCAUCUGAUACUGGCAAGCUUGAGUCUCGUAGAGGGGGGUAGAAUUCCAGGUGUAGCGGUGAAAUGCGUAGAGAUCUGGAGGAAUACCGGUGGCGAAGGCGGCCCCCUGGACGAAGACUGACGCUCAGGUGCGAAAGCGUGGGGAGCAAACAGGAUUAGAUACCCUGGUAGUCCACGCCGUAAACGAUGUCGACUUGGAGGUUGUGCCCUUGAGGCGUGGCUUCCGGAGCUAACGCGUUAAGUCGACCGCCUGGGGAGUACGGCCGCAAGGUUAAAACUCAAAUGAAUUGACGGGGGCCCGCACAAGCGGUGGAGCAUGUGGUUUAAUUCGAUGCAACGCGAAGAACCUUACCUGGUCUUGACAUCCACGGAAGUUUUCAGAGAUGAGAAUGUGCCUUCGGGAACCGUGAGACAGGUGCUGCAUGGCUGUCGUCAGCUCGUGUUGUGAAAUGUUGGGUUAAGUCCCGCAACGAGCGCAACCCUUAUCCUUUGUUGCCAGCGGUCCGGCCGGGAACUCAAAGGAGACUGCCAGUGAUAAACUGGAGGAAGGUGGGGAUGACGUCAAGUCAUCAUGGCCCUUACGACCAGGGCUACACACGUGCUACAAUGGCGCAUACAAAGAGAAGCGAUCUCGCGAGAGCAAGCGGACCUCAUAAAGUGCGUCGUAGUCCGGAUUGGAGUCUGCAACUCGACUCCAUGAAGUCGGAAUCGCUAGUAAUCGUGGAUCAGAAUGCCACGGUGAAUACGUUCCCGGGCCUUGUACACACCGCCCGUCACACCAUGGGAGUGGGUUGCAAAAGAAGUAGGUAGCUUAACCUUCGGGAGGGCGCUUACCACUUUGUGAUUCAUGACUGGGGUGAAGUCGUAACAAGGUAACCGUAGGGGAACCUGCGGUUGGAUCACCU